AUUGAACGCUGGCGGCAUGCCUUACACAUGCAAGUCGAACGGUAACAGGUCUUCGGAUGCUGACGAGUGGCGAACGGGUGAGUAAUACAUCGGAACGUGCCUAGUAGUGGGGGAUAACUACUCGAAAGAGUGGCUAAUACCGCAUGAGAUCUACGGAUGAAAGCAGGGGAUCGCAAGACCUUGUGCUACUAGAGCGGCCGAUGGCAGAUUAGGUAGUUGGUGGGAUAAAAGCUUACCAAGCCGACGAUCUGUAGCUGGUCUGAGAGGACGAUCAGCCACACUGGGACUGAGACACGGCCCAGACUCCUACGGGAGGCAGCAGUGGGGAAUUUUGGACAAUGGGCGAAAGCCUGAUCCAGCAAUGCCGCGUGCAGGAUGAAGGCCUUCGGGUUGUAAACUGCUUUUGUACGGAACGAAAAGCCCUGGGUUAAUACCCUGGGGUCAUGACGGUACCGUAAGAAAAGGCACCGGCUAACUACGUGCCAGCAGCCGCGGUAA
rnacentral:rRNA from 1 species